rnacentral:rRNA from 1 species
AUUGAACGCUGGCGGCAGGCUUACCACAUGCAAGUCGAGCGGAGCGGGGACGGGUGAGUAACACGUGGAUAAACUCCUAUAAGACUGGGAUAACUUCGGGAAAACGGAGUUAAACCGGAUAAUUAUAGAUGGCUCCGCGCUGGAUUAGCUAGUUGGUAAGGAACCGGCUUACCAAGGCAACGAUGCAUAGCCGACCUGGGAGGUGGAUCGGCCACACGGGAACUGAGACGCGGUCCAGACGCCUACGGGAGGCAGCAGGAGGGAAUCUGCCGCAAUGUACGAAAGUCUGACGGAGCAACGCGGCGUGAGUGAGGACGGCCUUCGGGUUGUAAAGCGCUGUUAAUCGGGACGGGUUACCGGAAUAGAAAGCCACGGCUAACUACGUGCCAGCAGCCGCGGUAAUUC